UACGAAGGGGGCUAGCGUUGCUCGGAAUCACUGGGCGUAAAGGGUGCGUAGGCGGGUCUUUAAGUCAGGGGGGAAAUCCUGGAGCUCAACUCCAGAACUGCCUUUGAUACUGAGGAGCUUGAGUUCGGGAGAGGUGAGUGGAACUGCGAGUGUAGAGGUGAAAUUCGUAGAUAUUCGCAAGAACACCAGUGGCGAAGGCGGCUCACUGGCCCGAUACUGACGCUGAGGCACGAAAGCGUGGGGAGCAAACAGG
rnacentral:rRNA from 1 species